rnacentral:rRNA from 1 species
AUUUUGGACAAUGGGUGAAACCCUGAUCCAGCCAUCCCGCGUGUAUGAUGAAUGCAUUNAGGUAGNANAGUACUUUUGGCAGAGANGAAAAGGUAUCUCCUAAUACGAGAUACUGCUGAUGUUAUCUGCAGAAUAAGCACCUGCUAACUACGUGCCAGCAGCCGCGGUAAUACGUAGGGUGCAAGCGUUAAUCGGAAUUACUGGGCGUAAAGCGUGUGUAGGCGGUUCGGAAAGAAAGAUGUGAAAUCCCAGGGCUCAACCUUGGAACUGCAUUUUUAACUGCCGAGCUAGAGUAUGUCAGAGGGGGGUAGAAUUCCACGUGUAGCAGUGAAAUGCGUAGAUAUGUGGAGGAAUACCGAUGGCGAAGGCAGCCCCCUGGGAUAAUACUGACGCUCAGACACGAAAGCGUGGGGAGCAAACA